rnacentral:lncRNA from 1 species
CUUGAAAGCCUGUCCGUCGCUGGCAACAAUCCUUCUACUAUUUUGGAUUUUUCGUGGAGCAUUCGUCGAACUUGAGGUAAGCAGCCAGAGGUUCUCUCUUGGUAAGAAACUUUUCUCCCCUCCUUGCCUCUAUAUGCAAUUUUCCUUUGCCAAGUGCUGGGAUGUUGCAGCUUGAAGAAAUUUGGUAAGGGGAAGAGACCUGAUAAGGGUUAUGAUUUAACUUUAUCUACUGUGCCAUGGAGAAGAUGAUGCUGCUAUUGAUUCAUAGUUUUCUUUUUUAUCGAAUGUGUGGG